rnacentral:lncRNA from 1 species
GUUGUGCAUAAAUAAUUUUUUUUGUGGUUGUAUAAAAACUAAAACAAAAACAAAGAAUAACUAUACAUUAAUCUAAGAAAUGUACAACAUAUGCUACUCUAGAGAAAAUAAUUCUGACAUACAUGUGUUAAUUUUUUUUAAUGUAGAAUGUAAAUCAAAAAAAUAUUGGAUGCAAAAUGUGCACAAAAUAAGUAUGAGGAUUUCUGAUAACUUAUAAAAUACAAACAUAAAGCUGAACAUCUAAUACUAUUUAACUUAAUAGCCCCUAAAGAAUUUGAUGACAGGUAAUUAGCGAGGGUAAACACAUCUACCAAAAGCUACUCUCGUUUCACUAUGUUUAACCAUGAGAAAAUUGCUCACUUUUGAUACACUGCAAUAAAUAUUCACCAUUAUAUCAAAAACAGUUUUUUUUCUAAAAAAAACGUCAUAUAUGUUAAUCAUGUAUUACCAAUGUUAUUUCAACUGAUUGGGCGGAGCUUACGUUUUAAUUUGCAUGAGGACAGUCGAUUUGAAAAUGUGUGUGACUACGAUGAUUGCCGUUAUAGUUAUUACUGAUUUCUAAUCACCUAUCAGUGACCUCUAAGGAAUUUACAAAAGAAUGACUGGACAAUGCAUUGAUGAGUGUAUCCUAAAACACCUAUCUAGAGAUGGACUGGUUUAUUAUGAGCGAACUGGAUAAAAUCCGCCCAGUCAAGUGAAAUAAAUUGAGUAAUAAGAGAAAAGAAAUGUAUUCGCUAAAAUAGGAACAUGAUGAUCAAUGAAUGUCAGAAUGUGUCAUAGAGAACAUGAUGAUCAAUGAAUGUCAGAAUGUGUUGU